rnacentral:rRNA from 1 species
CCUAACACAUGCAAGUCGAGCGGAAACGACACUAACAAUCCUUCGGGUGCGUUAAUGGGCGUCGAGCGGCGGACGGGUGAGUAAUGCCUAGGAAAUUGCCUUGAUGUGGGGGAUAACCAUUGGAAACGAUGGCUAAUACCGCAUAAUGCCUACGGGCCAAAGAGGGGGANCUUCGGACCUCUCGCGUCAAGAUAUGCCUAGGUGGGAUUAGCUAGUUGGUGAGGUAAUGGCUCACCAAGGCGACGAUCCCUAGCUGGUCUGAGAGGAUGAUCAGCCACACUGGAACUGAGACACGGUCCAGACUCCUACGGGAGGCAGCAGUGGGGAAUAUUGCACAAUGGGCGAAAGCCUGAUGCAGCCAUGCCGCGUGUAUGAAGAAGGCCUUCGGGUUGUAAAGUACUUUCAGUUGUGAGGAAGGGGGUAACGUUAAUAGCGUUAUCUCUUGACGUUAGCAACAGAAGAAGCACCGGCUAACUCCGUGCCAGCAGCCGCGGUAAUACGGAGGGUGCGAGCGUUAAUCGGAAUUACUGGGCGUAAAGCGCAUGCAGGUGGUUCAUUAAGUCAGAUGUGAAAGCCCGGGGCUCAACCUCGGAACUGCAUUUGAAACUGGUGAACUAGAGUGCUGUAGAGGGGGGUAGAAUUUCAGGUGUAGCGGUGAAAUGCGUA